UUGAUCCUCGGUCAGAUUGAACGCUGGCGAUGGCCCUAACACAUGCAAGUCGCACGCGAAAGGGGGCAACCCCGAGUAGAGUGGCGGACGGGUGCGUAACGCGUAGGAAUAUACCUGGUAGUGGGGGACAACCCGGCGAAAGCCGGGCUAAUACCGCCGAAUAUCUACGGAUGAAAGCAGGGGACCGCAAGGCCUUGCGCUAUCAGAUUAGCCUGCGUCGGAUUAGCUAGUUGGUGAGGUAACGGCUCACCAAGGCAACGAUCCGUAGCUGGUUUGAGAGAACGACCAGCCACACUGGGACUGAGACACGGCCCAGACUCCUACGGGAGGCAGCAGUGGGGAAUAUUGGACAAUGGGGGCAAUGCCCAUCCAGCAAUGCCGCGUGUGUGAAGAAGGCCUUCGGGUUGUAAAGCACUUUCGAUGGGGUUCAAACAAGCCAGACUAACACGUCUGGCCCUGAUGGUACCCAGAGAAGAAGCACCGGCUAACUCUGUGCCAGCAGCCGCGGUAAUACAGAGGGUGCGAGCGUUAAUCGGAAUUACUGGGCGUAAAGGGUGCGUAGGUGGUUUGUUAAGUCAGGCGUGAAAUCCCUGGGCUCAACCUGGGAACUGCGUUUGAUACUCAGGGACUCGAGUCUGGUAGAGGGUAGUGGAAUUCCGCAUGUAGCGGUGAAAUGCGUAGAUAUGCGGAGGAACAUCAGUGGCGAAGGCGGCUACCUGGACCAAGACUGACACUGAGGCACACAGGCGUGGGGAUCAAACAGAGAGAUUUACCCUGGUAGUCCACGCCCUUUACGAUGGGUACUAGACGUUGGGAGGGUUAUCCUCUUGGUGUCGCAGCUAACGCAAUAAGUACGGCGCCUGGGGAGUACGGUCGCAAGAUUAAAACU
rnacentral:rRNA from 1 species